rnacentral:rRNA from 1 species
AUUGAACGCUGGCGGCAGGCCUAACACAUGCAAGUCGAGCGGAUAAAGAGAGCUUGCUCUCUGAUUUAGCGGCGGACGGGUGAGUAAUGCCUAGGAAUCUGCCUGGUAGUGGGGGAUAACGUUCCGAAAGGAACGCUAAUACCGCAUACGUCCUACGGGAGAAAGCAGGGGACCUUCGGGCCUUGCGCUAUCAGAUGAGCCUAGGUCGGAUUAGCUAGUUGGUGAGGUAAUGGCUCACCAAGGCUACGAUCCGUAACUGGUCUGAGAGGAUGAUCAGUCACACUGGAACGGAGACACGGUCCAGACUCCUACGGGAGGCAGCAGUGGGGAAUAUUGGACAAUGGGCGAAAGCCUGAUCCAGCCAUGCCGCGUGUGUGAAGAAGGUCUUCGGAUUGUAAAGCACUUUAAGUUGGGAGGAAGGGCAGUAAGUUAAUACCUUGCUGUUUUGACGUUACCGACAGAAUAAGCACCGGCUAACUCUGUGCCAGCCGCCGCCGUAAAAC